rnacentral:misc_RNA from 1 species
CAGAGGGCAGGGUGCUGGCUAACGGCCAGUCGAGGCGACUCGCAGGAAAGUGCCACAGAAAACAGACCGCCCGUUCCCGCAAGGGGGCGGGUAAGGGUGAAACGGUGCGGUAAGAGCGCACCGCGUCCGGGGUGACUCGGACGGCACGGUAAACCCCACCUGGAGCAAGAGCCAAUAGGAGCGCGUCCCCGAAAGGGGACAAGGAUGGCCCGUCCCAUGCGCUCGGGUUGCUCGCUGACGAGGCCCCUGGGCAACCAGGGCCCUAGAUGAAUGUUCGCCGCCCAUCCCGAAAGGGGUGGGG